rnacentral:rRNA from 1 species
UACGUAGGAGGCAAGCGUUGUCCGGAUUUACUGGGCGUAAAGCGCGUGUAGGCGGCAAGGCAAGUCGGAUGUGAAAGCCCACGGCUCAACCGUGGAAGUGCACCCGAAACUGCCUAGCUAGAGUCUCGGAGAGGAAGGUGGAAUGCUUGGUGUAGAGGUGAAAUUCGUAGAUAUCAAGCGGAACACCGGUGGCGAAGGCGGCCUUCUGGACGAUGACUGACGCUGAGACGCGAAAGCGUGGGGAGCAAACAGG